rnacentral:rRNA from 1 species
UACGAAGGGGGCUAGCGUUGCUCGGAAUCACUGGGCGUAAAGGGUGCGUAGGCGGGUCUUUAAGUUAGAGGUGAAAUCCUGGAGCUCAACUCCAGAACUGCCUUUGAUACUGAGGGUCUUGAGUAUGACAGAGGUGAGUGGAACUGCGAGUGUAGAGGUGAAAUUCGUAGAUAUUCGCAAGAACACCAGUGGCGAAGGCGGCUCACUGGGUCAUUACUGACGCUGAGGCACGAAAGCGUGGGGAGCAAACAGG